CACGCUCUUCUUGGCCUUCUUCUUCUUCUUGUCGGCGCCGCCGUCCUUGCCGGGCACGCGCUUCUCGGCCUUGGGCUUCUUCUCCGCCUCCACAGGCUUCUUCUCCGCCGCGGGCUUCUUCUCGGCCUUGGGCGCCAUGGCUGUUUCGGCGGGGAGCAGGAGGCGAGAGAUGGGUUUGGGGGGAGGACUGUGGGCUUGUUGUGGUUGGGGUUUGAGGCGUGUGUUUCGGUGGACGGGGCGCUGGGAAUAUAUAGGGAUGCGCGGAGGGGCGUGACUGGUGGAGACGGUUAGGGUCAGGAUCGGUGACGUGGCUGAGUCCGGGGUCGUUGGAUUUGAUGGACGGACGGAUUUGGACGCGGUGACGGGGUGGAUCCGCGCGGGGAGGCGUGACCUCGCUGUUGGGCGGUGGGUUUAGGCGGCCAGUAGAAAUUUGGGAAGCGAAGCGCGAGCGGGAAGGUCUGUUUUGGGCGCUCCGUGAUGGAUUGGAGUGAGUGCGACCAUGUCAUAAUUUGGAUUUGCUCGGGAUUAUUUUAGGGUAUAUAUAUAUGUUUGAUGCGUAAGAGCAAUGAUAAGAUAGAGUCAGUAGGAUGUGAGGAUUAAAAUAAUAUAUUUUUUGUUGAGUUGGAUGAGCGAGAAGAGGAGAUGGAAUGAAAGCGGACUCUUCGUGAAGAGCUAGCUAUAUCACAUGCUCCUACGUGUUUUGUGAGAAUGAAAUGGGCCAUAUAUGAUAAAAAUAGUAUCUUUUUAUAGCUAACUAUUUUACAAGCUAGAUAUAAGAUAGCUUAUGACCAGCAGUUGGCUAUACUAUUAACCAUGCUCUAAGCAUAUAAAGCGGGACCCCUUAAAUGUUCGAUCAUGUCAUCGGUCACAAAAAAUUGACCUAGACACGUCUCUCAAACCGGCAUCAAACGUCUGGGCUGACCGACAUCCCAUUUCUAGCCCAAAUACGAGGGGAUAUGGGGGACCUCGGGCGUGUCCGGGCACGCCGUCACGUCGACCUGACAGCUUGGCCCCACGCGGAGUCACCGGAAAUCCCGACGGUCCGACGGGAGCCUCGACCGUCCGCACGGUGUGAAUAUCGUGUGGCGCCACUCCGGCUCCCCACCAGAAGUCACGGUCGGCUAUUUAAUCCGGCCGACACACCUAACCCUAGCUCAUCCGCCUCCUGCUUCUCUCCGCCUCCUGCUUCUCUCCGCCGCCGCCCGAGCCCGUCCGCCUCCUCUCGCAGUUCCUUCUCCGUCAGGAUGGUCCGACGGCUCAUCACCAUAUACGUGCACCUCACUCCGGAGCGGCACCUUCAAAUCGAGGCGGAGAUUCAGGCUCACCGCGCCACCCGCAUCGCCGCACCUCCCUCCGGACUCGCUGAAGACGAAGAAGGAGGAGGACGAGCAGCAACAACAACAUGAGGAAGAGGAGGAGGAGGCUUCCUGUUUGAGCAUGGCGGAGACGGACGCGAAGUUCGCCGUCGCCUAGUCGGAGGAGAUGGCGGAGCACCACGCCAUCCUCGAUUCCACCCGGGAUGGGGACGAGGUAUAGGCCAAUCGUCGGCUCAUCCGGGAGAGGCACGCGGAGGCCGACGCCCUCUUCGAUGAGAUGGAUGCGGAGAUUGAGGCGGAAGAGGCUGUAGCGGAGCAGCCGGAUGCGUCGGAGGGGGCGGAGCUGCGGCAAGCGGCCAUUUACAUUGGAAUGAAUCUAACACCCAUACAGUUCUGGUGUUGAUCAUGCUUCGCUCGUGGAAGAGGUUUAGUCAGUGGGUGUGCAACAUUCAGAUCCGCAUGCACUUUGCAAAUAUUUGCGUCCUCUCCUUCGACGUAGUCGUGAAUGAGGUUGAAGCAUCGUUUGAUGUGUCUGGUCUUCUUGUGAAACCUUGGUUCCUUUGCUAGAGCAAUGGCACCAGUGUUGUCACAGAACAGAGUUAUUGGAUUUAGUGCACUCGGCACAACUCCAAGAUUCUACUCCGCUUCACAUGUAGAAUCUGCUACGACGCUUUGCUUGGAACUGCAUCAGCUUACCGCACCCCCAUUAAGAAUAAAUACGUAUCCGAUUUGAGACUUAGAGUCAUCCGGAUCAGUGUCAAAGCUUGUAUCGACGUAACCCUUUACGACGAGCUCUUCAUCACCUCCAUAAACGAGAAACAUUUCCUUAGUCCUUUUCAGGUACUUCAGAAUAUUCUUGACCGCCGUCCAGUGAUCCACUCCUGGAUUAAUUUGAAACCUUCCUGACAUACUUAUGGCCAGGCUGACGUCCGGUCUUGUGCACAGCAUUGCAUACACGAUAGACCCUGUGGCUAAAGCAUAGGGGACGGUACUCAUCUUUUCUCUAUCUUCCGCGGUUACUAGACAGUGAGUCUUACUCAACUUUAUACCUUGUAACACUGGCAAGAACCCCUUCUUGGACUGCUUCAUUUUGAACUUCUUCAAAACUUUAUCAAGGUAUGUGCUUUGUGAAAGUCCUAUUAGGCGCCUCGAUCUAUCCCUAUAGAUCUUAAUGCCUAAUAUGUAAGCAACUUUUCCUAGGUAUUUCAUUGAAAAACAUUUGUUCAAGUAAUCCUUUACGCUCUCUAAAAACUCCACAUUGUUUCCAAUCAAGAAUAUGUCAUCCACAUAUAAUAUUAGAAACGCUACAGAUCUCCCACUCACUUUCUUGUAAAUACAAAAUUCUCCAACAACUUGUAUAAACCCAAAUGCUUUGAUCACCUCAUCAAAGUGUUUUUUCCAAUUCCGAGAUGCUUGCACGAGUCCGUAAAUGGAUCGCUGGAGCUUGCAUACUUUGUUAGCAUUCUUCGGAUCGACAAAACAUUCGGGUUGCAUCAUACACAACUUUUUCUUAAGAAAAACAUUAAGGAACGCCAUUUUGACAUCCAUCUGCGAGAUUUCAUGAUCGAAAAGUGUAGCUAUUGCUAACAUGAUUCGAACGGACUUAAGCAUCGCUACGGGUGAGAACGUCUCAUCGUAGUCAACUCCUUGAACUUGUGAAAAACCCUUUGCCACAAGUCGAGCUUUAUAAACGGUCGCAUUACCGUCUACGUUCGUCUUCUUCUUAAAGAUCCAUCUGUUCUGAAUAGCCUUGCGACCUUCAGGCAAUACUUCCAAAGUCCACACUUUGUUUUCAUACAUAGAUCCUAUCUCUGACUUCAUGGCCUCUAACCAUUUGUUGGAAUCCGGGCCCACCAUUGCUUGUUCAUAUUUCGCAUGUUCAUCGUUGUCUAACAACAUGAUAGAUAAGACAGGAUUCCCGUACCACUCAGGAGCAGUACGUGAUCUUGUCGACCUGCGAGGUCCGACAGCAAAUUGAUCCGAAGCUUCAUGAUCAUCAUUAUUAGCUUACUCCUCAAUCGGUGUUGCCUCGACAUAGAUUUCUCUCUGCCCCGCGCCACCAUCGAGAGGGAGCAGAGGUUCCACAACCUCAUCAAGUUCUAUCUUCCUCCCACUCAAUUCUUUCGAUAGAAACUCCUUCUCAAGAAAAGCUUCGUUCUUAACAACAAACACUUUGCCCUUGGGUAUGAGAUAGAAGGUGUACCCAACUGUCUCUUUUGGGUAACCUAUGAAGACGCAUUUUUCCGCUUUCGGUUUCAGCUUUCCAGGCUGAAGCUUUUUGACAUGAGCAUCGCAUCCUCAAACUUUAAGAAACGACAACCUUGGCCUCUUGCCAUGCCAUAGCUCAUAUGGUGUCGUCUCAACGGAUUUUGAUGGGUGCCCUAUUUAAAGUGAAUGCAGGUGUCUCUAAUGCAUAACCACAAAAAAGAUAACGACAAAUCAGUAAGAAACAUCAUAGAUCGCACCAUAUCUAACAAAGUACGACUACGACGUUCGGACACACCAUUACGCUAUGGUGUUCCAGGCGGUGUCAACUGUGAAACGAUUCCACAUUGUCUUAAGUGAGCACCAAACUCGAAACUCAGAUAUUCACCCCCUCGUUCAGAUCGUAUGAACUUGAUCUUCUUGUUACGAUGAUUUUCAACUUCACUCUGAAAUUGCUUGAACUUUUCAAACGUUUCAGACUUGUGUUUCAUCAAGUAGAUAUAUCCACACCUACUCAAAUCAUCAGUGAAGGUGAGAAAAUAACGAUAUCCGUCGCGUGCCUCCACACCCAUUGGACCGCAUACAUCAGUAUGCAUGAUCUCCAACAAGUCAGUUGCACACUCCAUUGUUCUGGAGAACGGAGUCUUAGUCAUCUUGCCCAUGAGGCAUGGUUCGCACGUGUGAAGUGAUUCGAAAUCAAGUGACUCCAAAAGCCCAUCAGCAUGGAGUUUCUUCAUGCGCUUUACACCAAUAUGACCUAAGCGGCAGUGCCGCAAAAAGGUGGCGCUAUCAUUGUUAACUCUACAUAUUUUGGUCUCAAUGUUAUGUAUAUGUGUGUCAUCACAAUCAAGAUUCAAUAUGAACAAACCCCUCACAUUGGGUGCAUGACCAUAAAAGAUAUUACUCAUAAAAAUAGAACAACCAUUAUUCUGUGACUUAAAUGAGUAACCGUCUCACAAUAAACAAGAUCCACAUAUAAUGUUCAUGCUUAACGCAUGCACUAAAUAACAAUUAUUUAAGUUCAUAACUAAUCCUGAUGGUAACUGAAGUGAGACUUUGCCGAUGGCAAUUGCAUGAACCUUGGAACCAUUUCCCACGCGCAUCGUCACUUCAUCCUUCGCAAGCCUUCGUUUAUUCCGCAGUUCCUACUUCGAGUUGCAAAUAUGAGCAACAGAACCGGUAUCAAAUACCCAGGCACUACUAUGAGAGUUGGUUAGGUACACAUCAAUAACAUGUAUAUCACAUAUACCUGGUUUGGCGUUGGCCGCCUUCUUGAUACGUCCAUUUUGCAUCAUGCUUUCAUGUUGUUAUUUAUUGCUUUAUGGGUUGUUAUUACACUUCAUGGUACAAUACUUAUGCCUUUUCUCUCUUAAUUUGCAAGGUUUACAUGAAGAGGUAGAAUGCCGGCAACUGGAAUUCUGGCCUGAAAAAGGAGCAAGUUUGAGAUACCUAUUAUGCGCAACUCCAAAAGCCGUGAAAAUCAACGAGGAUUUAUUUUGGAAUUUAUAAAAAAUACUGGGCUGAAGAAGUACCAGAGGGGAGCCAGCAGGAGGCCACAAGCCUGCUAGGCGCGACCUCCCCCCUCGCCGUGCCUAGGGGGCUUGUGAGCUUCCUGUUGGACCAGUGGCCCCCCUCCUUUGCUAUAAGGAGGGUUUCGUUCUGGAAAAAAAAUCAAAAGGAGGCUUUCGGGAGGAAUCGCCGCCGCCACGAGGCGGAACUUGAGCAGUACCAAUCUAGAGCUCCGACAGGGUCGUCCUGCCGGGGAAACUUCCCUCCCGGAGGGGGUAAUCGUCGCCAUCGUCAUCACCAACACUCCUCUCAUCGAACGGGAAUCAUCACCACCAACGUCUUCAUCAGCACCAUCUCAUCUCCAAACCCUAGUUCAUCUCUUGUAANNNNNNNNNNACGACUCCGAUUGGUACUUGUAAGGUUGCUAGUACUGUUAAUUACUCUUUGUAGCUGAUGCUAGUUAGAUUACUUGGUGGAAGAUUAUAUGUUCAGAUCCUUGAUGCUACCCAUUACCACUCUGGUCAUGAACAUGAUUAUGCUUUGUGAGUAGUCACUUUUGUUCCUGAGGACAUGGGAUAAGUCAUGCUAUAAGUAGUCAUGUGAAUUUGGUAUUCGUUCGAUAUUUUGAUGCGUUGUAUGUUGUUUUUCCGCUAGUGGUGUUAUGUGAACGUCUACUACAUAACACUUAACCAUUAUUUGUGCCUAGAGGAAGUCAUUGGGAAGUAGUAAGUAGAUGAUGGGUUGCUAGAGUGACAGAAGCUUAAACCCUAGUUUAUGUGUUGAUUCGUAAGGGGCUGAUUUGGAUCCACUAGUUCAAUGCUAUGGUUAGACUUUGUCUUAAUUCUUCUUUCGUAGUUGUGCAUGCUUGCGAGAGGGGUUAAUCAUAAGUGGGAUCCUUGUCCAAGUAAGGGCAGUACCCAAGCACCGGUCUACCCACAUAUCAAACUAUCAAAGUACCGAAUGCGAAUCAUAUGAACAUGAUGAAAACUAGCUUGACAGAAUCUCCCAUGUGUCCUCGGGAGCGCUUUAGCUCCUCUAAGAGUUUGCCCAGGCUUGUCCCUUGCUACAAAAGGGAUUGGGCCACUUUGUUGCACCGUUGUUACUAUUGUUACUUGCUACGAAUUAUCUUGUCACGCAACUACUUGUUACUGAUAAUUUCAGUACUUGUAGAGAUUACCUUGCUGAAAACCACUUGUCAGAUCCUUCUGCUCCUUGUUGGGUUCGACACUCUUACUUAUCGAAAGGACUACGAUAGAUCCCCUAUACUUGUGGGUCAUCAAGACUCUUUUCUGGCGCCGUUGCUGGGGAGUGAAGCGCCUUUGGUAAGUGGAAUUUGGUAAGGAAACAUUUAUAUAGUGUGCUGAAAUUUAUUGUCACUUGUCACUAUGGAAACUAAUCCUUUGAGGAGCUUGUUCGGGGUAUAUUCACCUCGAACGGAAGCACAAGGAGUUUCUCCUCAACCUUCUGCACCUACUGAAAAUAUUUGCUAUGAAUUUCCUUCGGGGAUGCUUGAGAAAAUGCUGGCUAAUCCUUUUACAGGAGACGGAACAUCACAUCCCGACUUGCAUCUAAUCUAUGUAGAUGAAGUUUGUGGUUUAUUUAAGCUUGCAGGUUUGCCCGAGGAUGAGGUCAAGAAGAAGGUCUUUCCUUUAUCUUUGCAGGAUAAGGCAUUGACAUGGUAUAGGCUAUGUGAUGAUACUGGAUCAUGGAACUACAAUCGGUUGAAGUUGGAAUUUCAUCAAAAGUUUUAUCCUAUGCAUUUAGUACAUCGUGAUCGGAAUUAUAUUAAUAAUUAUUGGCCUCGUGACAGAGAAAGCAUCGCUCAAGCUUAGGGGAGGCUUAAAUCAAUGCUAUAUUCAUGCCCCAAUCAUGAGCUCUCGAGAGAAAUUAUCAUUCAGAACUUCUAUGCUCGGCUUUCUCAUGAUGAUCGCACCAUGCUUGACAUUUCUUGUACCGGUUCUUUUAUGAAGAGGGAUAUUGACUUCAAAUGGAAUUUAUCGGAGAGAAUUAAAUGCAACUCUGAAGAUUGGGAGCUUGAAGAAGGUAAGGAGUGAGGUAUGAAUUUCAAGUUUGAUUGCGUUAAAUCCUUUGUUGAAACAAAUACUUUUUAUGAUUUUAGCGCUAAGUAUGGACUUGACUCUGAGAUAGUAGCUUCAUUUUGUGAAUCAUUUGCUGCUCAUAUUUAUCUCCCCAAAGAGAAGUGGUUUAAAUAUCAUCCUCCUGUAGAAGUCAAUGUAGUUAAACCCAAUCGAGUUGAAGAGAAAGUCAUAGCCUAUAAUGAUUCCGUUGUUCCCAGUGCUUACAUUGAGAAACCACCUUUCCCUGUUAGGAUAAAGGAUCAUUCUAAAGCUUCAACUGUGAUACGUAGAGGCUACAUUAGAACACAUACACCCCCUGAGCAAAUUAGAGUUGAACCUAGGAUUGCUAUUAUCAAAGAUCUCAUGUCCGACAAUAUUGAUGGCCAUGAUAUUCACUUUUGUGAAGAUGCUGCUAGAAUUGCUAAACCCCAUGCUAGAGACAAACAUAGGCCUGUUGUUGGCACGCCUGUUGUUUCUGUUAAGAUAGGAGAUCAUUGUUAUCAUGGUUUAUGUGACGUGGGUGCUAGUGUUAGUGCAAUACCUUAAUCUUUAUAGGAUGAAAUUAAAGACGAGAUUGCACCUGUCGAGAUGGAACCUAUUGAUGUCACUAUUGAGCUUGCCAAUAGAGAUACUAUCUGCCCUUUGGGAAUUGUUAGAGAUGUUGAAGUCUUGUGUGGUAAAACUAAGUAUCCUGCUGAUUUUCUCGUUCUUGCUACCCCACGAGAUAGUUUUUGUCCCAUCAUAUUUGGCAGACCUUUCCUCAAUACUGUCAAUGCUCAUAUUGACUGUGAGAAGCAAACUGUCACUGUUGGCUUUGAAGGAGUGUCACAUGAGUUCAAUUUCUCCAAGUUUGGUAGACAACCUCAUGAANNNNNNNNNNNNNNNNNNNNNNNNNNNNNNNNNNNNNNNNNNNNNNNNNNNNNNNNNNNNNNNNNNNNNNNNNNNNNNNNNNNNNNNNNNNNNNNNNNNNUUAGUAAGUAGAUGAUGGGUUGCUAGAGUGACAAAAGCUUAAACCCAAGUUUAUGUUUUGCUUCGUAAGGGGCUGAUUUGGAUCCACUAGUUUAAUGAUAUGGUUAGACUUUGUCUUAAUUCUUCUUUCGUACUUGCGGAUGCUUGUGAGAGGGGUUAAUCAUAAGUGGGAUGCUUGUCCAAGUAAGGGCAGUACCCAAGCGUCGGUCCACCCACAUAUCAAACUAUCAAAGUAACGAACGCGAAUCAUAUGAACACGAUGAAAACUAGCAUGACAGAAAUUCACGUGUGUCCUCGGUAGCGUUUUUCCUCCUAUAAGACUUUGUCCAGGCUUGUCCCUUGCUACAAAAGGGAUUGGGCCACUUUGCUNNNNNNNNNNGUUGCUACUUUUUUUACUUGUUGCUUUCUACGAAUCAUCUCACCACACAAUCACUUGUUACCGAUAAUUUCAGUGCUUGCAUAUUUUACCUUGCUGAAAACCACUUGUCAGAUCCUUCUGCUCCUCGUUAGGUUCGACACUCUUACUUAUCAAAAGGACUACGAUUGAUCCCCUAUACUUGUGGGUCAUCAAGACUCUUUUUUGGCGCCGUUGCCGGGGAGUGAAGCGCCUUUGGUAAGUGGAACUUGGUAAGGAAACAUUCAUAUAGUGUGCUGAAAUUUAUUGUCACUUGUCACUAUGGAAACUAAUCCUUUGAGGGGCUUGUUCGGGGUAUCUUCACCUCGAACGAAAGUACAAAUAGUUGCUCCUCAACCUGCUGCACCUACUGAAAAUAUUUGCUUUGAAUUUCCUUCGAGUAUGCUUGAGAAACUGCUGGCUAAUCCUUUUAUAGGAGAUAGAACAUCACAUCCAGACUUGCAUCUAAUCUAUGUAGAUGAAGUUUGUGGUUUAUUUAAGCUUNNNNNNNNNNNNNNNNNNNNNNNNNNNNNNNNNNNNNNNNNNNNNNNNNNNNNNNNNNNNNNNNNNNNNNNNNNNNNNNNNNNNNNNNNNNNNNNNNNNNGGUGAAUAUCUGAGUUUCGAGUUUGGUGCUCACUUAAGACAAUGUGGAGUUGUUUCACAGUUGACACCGCCCGGAACACCACAGCGUAAUGGUGUGUCCGAACGUCGCAAUCGUACUUUAUUAGAGAUGGUGCGAUCUAUGAUGUCUCUUACCGAUUUGCCGUUAUCGUUUUGGGGUUAUGCAUUAGAAACAGCUGCAUUCACUUUAAAUAGGGCACCAUCAAAAUCCGUUGAGACGACACCAUACGAACUGUGGUAUGGCAAAAGGCCAAAGUUGUCGUUUCUUAAAGUUUGGGGAUGUGAUGCUUAUGUCAAAAAGCUUCAGCCUGAAAAGCUGGAACCCAAAGCGGAAAAGUGCGCUUUAUAGGUUACCCAAAGGAGACAGUUGGGUACACCUUCUAUCUCAAAUCCGAGGGCAAAGUGUUUGUUUCUAAAAACGGAGCUUUUCUCGAGAAGGAGUUUCUCUCGCGAGAAUUGAGUGGGAGGAAGAUAGAACUUGACGAGGUUAUCGAACCUCUCAUCCCUCUGGAUGGUGGCACAGGGCAAGGGGAAACCUCUGUCAUUGCAACGCCGGUUGAGGAGGAAGUUAAUGAUGAUGAUCAUGAAACUCCGGUUCAAGUUUCUGUCAAACCACGCAGGUCGACGAGACCACGUGCUGCUCCAGAGUGGUACGGUAAUCCCAUCUUGUCAAUCAUGUUGUUGGACAACAAUGAACCUGCAAAUUAUGAAGAAGCAAUGGUGGGCCCAAAUUCCAACAAAUGGCUAGAAGCCAUGAAGUCCGAGAUAGGAUCCAUGUAUGAGAACAAAGUGUGGACUUUGGAGGUACUGCCUGGGGGCCGCAAGGCUAUUCAGAACAAAUGGAUCUUUAAGAGGAAGACGGACGCUGACGGCAAUGUGACCGUUUAUAAAGCACGACUUGUGGCAAAGGGUUUUUCACAAGUUCAAGGAGUUGACUACGAUNNNNNNNNNNAUUCUCACCCGUAGCGAUGCUUAAGUCCGUCAGAAUCAUGUUAGCAAUAGCUGCAUUUUUCGAUUAUGAAAUCUGGCAGAUGGAUGUCAAAACGGCGUUCCUUAACGGUUUCCUUGAGGAAUAGUUGUAUAUGAUGCAACCCGAAGGUUUUGUGGAUCCUAAGAAUGCUAACAAAGUGUGCAAGCUCCAGCGAUCCAUUUAUGGACUGGUGCAAGCAUCUCGGAGUUGGAACAAACGCUUUGAUGAGGUGAUCAAAGCAUUUGGGUUUAUACAAGUGGUUGGAGAAUCUUGUAUUUACAAGAAAGUGAGUGGGAGCUCUGUGUUGUUUCUAAUAUUAUAUGUGGAUGACAUAUUGCUGAUUGGAAACAACGUNNNNNNNNNNNNNNNNNNNNNNNNNNNNNNNNNNNNNNNNNNNNNNNNNNNNNNNNNNNNNNNNNNNNNNNNNNNNNNNNNNNNNNNNNNNNNNNNNNNNNNNNNNNNNNNNNNNNNNNNNNNNNNNNNNNNNNNNNNNNNNNNNNNNNNNNNNNNNNNNNNNNNNNNNGACCUAGGAGAAGCUGCUUACAUUCUAGGCAUUAAGAUCUACAGGGAUAGAUCAAAACGCCUCAUAGGACUUUCACAAAGCACAUACCUUGAUAAAGUUUUGAAGAGGUUCAAAAUGGAACAAUCCAAGAAAGGGUUCUUGCCAGUUUUACAAGGUACGAGAUUGAGUAAGACUCAGUGCCCAUCAACUGAUGAGGAUAUAGAGCAUAUGAGCACCGUCCCCUAUGCUUCAGCCAUAGGUACUAUCAUGUAUGCAAUGUUGUGCACUAGACCGGACGUUAGCCUGGCCAUAAGUAUGGCAGGUAGGUUCCAGAGUAAUCCAGGAGUGGAUCAUUGGACGGCGGUCAAGAAUAUCCUGAAGUACCUGAAAAGGACUAAGGAGAUGUUUNNNNNNNNNNNNNNNNNNNNNNNNNNNNNNNNNNNNNNNNNNNNNNNNNNNNNNNNNNNNNNNNNNNNNNNNNNNNNNNNNNNNNNNNNNNNNNNNNNNNGUGUAUGUUGUUUUUCCUCUACUGGUGUUAUGUGAACGUCGACUACAUAACACUUCACCAUUAUUUGGGCCUAGAGGAAGGCAUUGGGAAGUAGUAAGUAGAUGAUGGGUUUCUAGAGUGACAGAAGCUUAAACCCUAGUUUAUGCUUCGUGAGGGGCUGAUUUGGAUCCACUAGUUUAAUGCUAUGGUUAGACUUUGUCNNNNNNNNNNCCUAGUGGUGUUAUGUCAACGUCGACUACAUAACACUUCACCAUUAUUUGAGUCUAGAGGAAGGCAUUGGGAAGUAGUAAGUAGAUGAUGGGUUGCUACAGUGAUAGAAGCUUAAACCCUAGUUUAUGUGUUGCUUCGUAAGGGCCUGAUUUGGAUCCACUAGUUUAAUGCUAUGGUUAGACUUUGUCUUAAUUCUUCUUUCAUCGUUGCGGAUGCUUGCGAGAGGGGUUAAUCAUAAGUGGGAUGCUUGUCCAAGUAAGGGCAGUACCCAAGCGCUGGUCCAUCCACAUAUCAAACUAUCAAAGUAGCGAACGUGAAUCAUAUGAACAUUAUGAAAACUAGCUUGACAGAAUUUCCCAUGUGUCCUCGGGAGCGCUUUACCUCAUAUAAGACUUUGCCCAGGCUUGUCCCUUGCUACAAUAUGGAUUGGGCCAAUUUGUUGCACCGUUUCUACUUUUGCUACUUGCUACUUGCUACGAAUCAUCUUGCCACACAACUACUUGUUACCAUUAAUUUCAAUGCUUGCAGAUAUCACCUUACUGAAAACCACUUGUCAGAUCCUUCUACUCCUUGUUAGGUUCGACACUCUUACUUAUCGAAAGGACUAUGAUAGAUCCCCUAUACUUGUGGGUCAUCACGGUAAUCAAGGCCUUCUUAAGUAUUUCAAAGUCUUCCUCACAAUCAUCAUAAAAAAAAUGAAUAUCCUUUUGCAAGAGAUUGGUAAGAGGCCUAGAAAUCUUAGAAAAGUCCUUAAUGUACCUUCUAUAGAAACCAGCAUGACCAAGGAAACUUCUUAUACCUUUGAUAUCUGUAGGGCAUGGCAUUUUCUCGAUCGCAUCAACCUAAGCCUUAUCGACUUCAAUACCUCUUUCAGAAAUUUUAUGUCCUAAGACGAUGCCUUCAUUAACCAUAAAGUGGCACUUCUCCCAAUUAAAGACAAGAUUGGUAUCUUUACAUCUCUGCAAAACUCUAUCAAGGUUGCUGAGGCAAUCAUCAAAAGAAGACCCGUAAACGGAGAAGUCAUCCAUGAAAACCUCAACAAUCUCUUCACAAAAGUAAGAGAAUAUAGCCAUCAUAUGUCUUUGAAAGGUAGCAGGUGCAUUACAUAAGCCAAAAGGCAUACGUAUGUAAGCAAAGGUAUCGAAAGGGCAGGUGAAAGUGGUUUUCUCCUCAUCAGUUUGUGCAACAGGUAUUUGGGAGAAACCAAAAUAACCAUCUAGAAAGCAGAAGGGUGUGUGUUUAGAAAAUCUUUCUACAUUUGGUCAAUGAAAGUCAAAGGGUAAUGAUCUUCCCUAGUGGCUUUAUUCAAUUUCCUAAAAUCAAUCACCAUCCUAUAGCUAGUAAUAAUCCUCUGUGGGAUCAAUUCAUCUUUGUCAUUAGGGACAACGGUAAUACCUCCCUUCUUAGGGACGCAAUGCACGAGACUCACCCAAUCACUAUGACCAACAGGAUAGAUAAUACCUGCUUCUAGGAGAUUUAGUAUUUCUUUUCUUACUACCUCUUUCAUCUUAGGAUUUAAUCUCCUUUGAUGAUCAGCAACUGGUUUGGAAUCAGGAUCAACUUUAAUUUUGUGCUGGCAUAGAGUGGGACUAAUGCCCUUAAGAUCGUCAAGAGUAUAUCCAAUAGCAGCACGGUGCUUCCUCAGAGUUUUUAAUAACUUCUUUUCUUCAUGCUCUGAAAGUCUAGCACUAAUUAUAACACGAUAUAUAUAUAUAUAUAUAUUUCAUCGAUAUAAGCAUACUUAAGAGUAUCAGGUAACUGCUUAAGCUCAAACAGAGGAUCAACCUUUGGUGGGGGUGGAUCUCCAAGCAGUUCAACAAGUAAAUUAUUCUUAAGGAUAGGAUGUUGUUCAAAGAUAACUCUAUCUAUCUCAUUCCUUUCAUCCAUAUGCAUAUCAUUUUCAUGCUCAAGCAAGUAUUGCUCNNNNNNNNNNAGCAAUAGAAGCUAGAGCAAUAAUUUCAUAUUUACUAGACAACUCUUUUUCAUGAGGUUGUCUACCAAACUUGGAGAAAUUGAACUCAUGUGACACACCUUCAAAGCCAACGGUAACAGUUUGCUUCUCACAGUCAAUAUGAGCAUUGAUGGUAUUGAGGAAGGGUCUGCCAAAUAUGAUGGGACAAAAGCUAUCUUGGGUGGUAGCAAGAAUGAGGAAAUCCGCAGGAUACUUCGUUUUACCACUCAAGACAUCAACAUCCCUAACAAUUCCCACAGGGCAGAUAGUAUCUCUAUUGGCAAGCUGAAUAGUGACAUCAAUGGGUUCUAUCUUGACAGGUGCAAUCCCGUCUUUGAUUUCAUCAUAUAAGGAUUGAGGUAUUGCACUAACACUAGCACCCACGUCACAUAAACCAUGAUAACANNNNNNNNNNAUCAACUGGCUUGGAAUCAGGAUCAAUUUUAAUCUUGUGCUGGCAUAGAGUGGGACUAAUGCCCUUAAGAUCAUCAAGAAUAUAUCCAAUAGCAGCACAGUGCUUCCUCGGAGUUUUUAGUAACUUCUUUUCUUCAUGCUCUAAGAGGCUAGCACUAAUAAUAACAUGAUAUAUCUCUUUUUCAUCAAGAUAAGCAUACUUAAGAGUAUCAGGCAACUGUUUAAGCUUGAACACAUGGUCACCCUUUGGUGGGGGUGGAUCUCCAAGCAGUUCAACACGCAAAUUAUUCUUAAGAAUAGGAUAUUGUUCUAAGACAACUCUAUCUAUCUCAUGCCUUUCAUCCAUAUGCAUAUCAUUUUCAUGCUCAAGCAAGUAUUGCUCUAAAGGAUCAGUAGGAGGCACGACAAUAGAAGCUAGGGCAAUAGUUUCAUCCUUACUAGGCAACUCUUUUUCAUGAGGUUGUCUACCAAACUUGGAGANNNNNNNNNNNNNNNNNNNNNNNNNNNNNNNNNNNNNNNNNNNNNNNNNNNNNNNNNNNNNNNNNNNNNNNNNNNNNNNNNNNNNNNNNNNNNNNNNNNNCACGCAAUCAAACUUGAAAUUCAUACCCGACUCUUUACCUUCAUCAAACUCUCAAUCUUCAGAGUUGCGUUUAAUUCUUUCCAAUAAAUUCAAUUUGAAGUCAAUAUCUCUCUUCAUAAAAGAACCGGUACAAGAAGUGUCAAGCAUGGUGCGAUCAUCAUGAGAAAGCCGAGCAUAGAAGUUUUGAAUGAUAAUUUCUCUCGAGAGCUCAUGGUUGGGGCAUGCAUAUAACAUUGAUUUAAGCCUCCCCCAAGCUUGAGCGAUGCUUUCUCUGUCACGAGGCCAAAAAUUAUAAAUAUAAUUCCGAUCACGAUGUACUAGAUGCAUAGGAUAAAACUUUUGAUGAAAUUCCAAUUUCAACCGGUUGUAGUUCCAUGAUCCAGUAUCAUCACAUAGCCUAUACCAUGUCNNNNNNNNNNAACGCAAUCAAACUUCAGAUUCAUACCUGACUCCUUACCUUCAUCAAACUCCCAGUCUUCAGAGUUGUGUUUAAUUCUUUCCAAUAAAUUCCAUUUGAAGUCAAUAUCUCUCUUCAUAAAAGAACCGGUACAAGAAGUGUCAAGCAUGGUGCGAUUAUCAUGAGAAAGGCGAGCAUAGAAGUUCUGAAUGAUAAUUUCUCUCGAGAGCUCAUGGUUGGGGCAUGAAUAUAACAUUGAUUUAAGCCUCCCCCAAGCUUGAGCGGUACUUUCUCUAUCACGAGGCCAAAAAUUAUAAAUAUAAUUCCGAUCACGAUGCACCAAAUGCAUAGGAUAAAACUUCUUAUGAAAUUCCAAUUUCAAUCGGUUGUAGUUCCAUGAUCCAGUAUCAUCACAUAGCCUAUACCAUGUCAAUGCCUUAUCCUGCAAAAAUAAGGGAAAUACAUUAUUCUUUACCUCAUCCUCGGGCAAACUUGCAAGCUUAAAUAAACCACAAACUUCAUCUACAUAGAUUAGACGCAAGUCGGGAUGUGAUGUUCCAUCUCGUGUAAAAGGAUUAGCCAACAGUUUCUCUAGCAUACCCGAAGGAAUUUCAUAACAAAUAUUUUCAGUAGGUGCAGCAGGUUGAGGAGCAACUCCUUGUGCUUCCGUUCGAGGUGAAGAUACCCCGAACAAGCUCCUCAAAUGAUUAGUUUCCAUAGUGACAAGUGAGAAUAAAUUUCAGCACACUAUAUAAAUGUUUCCUUACAAAAUUCCACUUACCGAAGACUCUUCACUCCCCGGCAACAGCGCCAGAAAAGAGUCAUGAUCACCCAAAAGUGUAGGGGAUCUAUCAUAGUCCUUUCGAUAUGUAAGAGUGUCGAACCCAACGAGGAGCACAAGGAUCUGGCAAGUGGUUUUCAACAAGGUAUUCUCUGCAAGCACUGAAAUUAUCGGUAACAGAUAGUUGUGUGAUAAGAUCAUUCAUAGCAAGUAGCAAGUAACAAUAGUAAAAAAGGUGCAGCAAGAUGGCCCAAUCCCUUUUGUAUCAAGGGACAAGCCUGGACGAACUCUUAUAGGAGGUGAAGCGCUCCCGAGGACACAUGGGAAUUUUGUCAAGCUAGUUUUCAUCAUGUUCAUAUGAUUCGCGUUCGCUACUUUAAUAGUUUGAUAUGUGGGUGGACCGGUGCUUGGGUGCUGCCCUUACUUGGACAAACAUCCCAAUUAUGAUUAACCCCUCUCGCAAGCAUCCUCAACUACGAAAGAAGAAUUAAGACAAAGUCUAACCAUAGCAUUAAACUAGUGGAUNNNNNNNNNNUACGAAGCAACGCAUAAACUAGGGUUUAAGCUUAUGUCACUCUAGCAACCCAUCAUCUACUUAUUACUUCUCAAUGCCUUCCUCUAGGCCCAAAUAAUGGUGAAGUGUUAUGUAGUCGACGUUUGCGUAACACCACUAGAGUAGAGACAACAUACAACACAUCAAAAUAUCGAACGAAUACCAAAUUCACAUGACUACUUAGAGCAAGACUUAUCACAUGUCCUCAGGAACAAAAGUGGCUACUCACAAAGCAUAAUUAUGUUCAUGAUCAGAGAGGUAUUUAAUAGCAUCAAUGAUGUGAACAGAUAAUAUUCCACCGAGUAAUCCAACUAGCAUCAACUACAAAGAGUAAUUAACACUACUAGCAACCUUACAGGUACCAAUCGGAGUCGCAAGACGGAGAUUGGUCACAAGAGAUGAACUACGGUUUGGACAUGAGUUGGUGUUGAUGAAGAUGUUGAUGGUGAUGAGUCCCCUCCGACGAGAGGAGUGUUGGUGAUGACGAUGGCGACGAUUUCCCCCUCUCGGAGGGAAGUUUCCCCGGCAGGAUGGCCGUGCCGGAGCUUUAGAUUGGUUCUGCUCAAGUUCCGCCUCGUGGCGGCGGCGNNNNNNNNNNGGCCUCCUCCUGAUUUUUUAUGGAACGUAACCCUCCUUAUAACAAAAGAUAGGAGCGAGAGGGGCAACAGGGGGCCCACAAGCCCCCUAGGCGCGGCUAGGGGGGUAGGUCGCGCCUAGCAGGCUUGUGCCCUCCUGGUGGCUCCCCUGUGGUACUUCUUCCGCCAAGUAUUUUUUAUAAAAUACAAAAUAAUUCCUCGUUGAUUUUCACAGCUUUUGGAGUUGUGCAGAAUCGGUAUCUCAAACUUGCUCUUUUCAGACCAAAAUUCCAGCUGCCGGCAUUCUCCCUCUUCAUGUAAACCUUGUAAAAUAAGAGAGAAAAGGCAUAAGUAUUGUACCGUGAAGUGUAAUAACAGCCCAUAAAGCGAUAAAUACCAACAUAAAAGCAUGAUGCAAAAUGGACGUAUCAUGCAUCCCUAACAUUGCGAUUGUAUCCAUGUGGACAACCGGCGGCUUGUCGUGGUGGUUGUUGUUCGUGGUGCUGAACUAGAGCAACCUCUCUCUCAUCAUCAUAAUCCUUAUUGUGCUCAGCCAUAGAAACCUCGGCAGUAGCAGCAGGAGGAGCAGCAGCAAGAGCAGCAACAGCAUUAGUAGCAACAACACCAAAAUUAUGCACUUGUCUAACACACACACGUCACGCUCAUAGCUGUUGUGGUUGUGGUUGAAGAGGGACAGAAGCUGCAGCUGGUGGUGGUAAAUGCGCAAGCACCUCAUCGAACUUGGCGUUCAUCUUGGUGUCAAAUUUCUUCUCCAUACCUUCGAGAUUUCCAAGGCCUCGCCAAUGAUGGUCACGAAAUCCUGUACCUGGUCAGACAUCAUUUGCUGAAAUUUAUCAUGGAGCUCCCGGUUGGUCAGGUUCUCCCAGUCGAUCUCCCCGUCGUGUGAUCCUCGCAUGGUUAGCAGCAAUAGGAACACAGAAGAAUAUGAACCUACAGACUACUAGGAAGUGGUGGUGGUGGUGGUGUGUCACAAAUCCGUCAAGCAAAUCCCAAUUUCUUACCAAUUCUUACCUAGCAGGAGGUGGCGAUCGGCAAUCGGUGUAGUCAAAACUCUCAAAGCUUGGAUAGAGCGAUUGCGAGGUGGUGUCAAACACAUAAUGUGCUCGGAAGGCUUAUAAUAUGGUAGCAAGAAGGGUCAACAAUAAUCAGUUCAGAAAUGCAAAAUUGAAAGACGCUCAACAACGGUACUGUGCUGGUCCUAGGCUAGACCGUACUAGAGACGUGAGCCUAGAACACCAACGAAGUCACGAUGACACGUACUAAUCAAGGGAAGAGCCACUCUGAUUUUCCCCCCUCUUUUUUUGCGCUUUUAUUUUUUUACAAAAUCACUAUAAUGGUGAGUGUCUCAAAACUCUUCCCAAGGACAAAAAACAGGAUAGGCACGAAAAAAAUUGACAAUUUUUUUAAAUUUCUGGAGCAAUUUGGGGCUACGACGACCAAAAAUUGCGACAAAAAUCACUAUGAUGGCGAGUGUCUCAAAACUCUCUAAAAAGCCUAACAAAACGAUAGGGAUUAUUUUUCACCCCUCGAAAUUUUGACUUAAAAGUGCUCGGGAAAGCGUGCCAGACUUUUUUUUUGAUACCUACUCAGGUAAUGAAACGUGAAACCGAAAGCAAAAGGAUCUUGAAAUUAACCUAAGGCAGAAAGGAUUGUGGUGGAUAUAUGGUGGUGGUAUAUGGCAACAAGGAUAAUGGUGGCGUGGUGGUGGUAUAUGGCAGCAGCAAUGAUGGUAACGUGGAGGUGGUAUAUGGCAGCGAUGAAAGUUGGUGCAGUGGCGGCGUGACAACGUGUGAACAGAACUCGAAACUCUAAAGAACUACUCCCUCCGUUCCUAAAUAUAAGUCUUUCUAGAGUUUUAACUAAUGGACUACAUACGGAUGUAUAUAGACAUACUUUAGAGUAUAGAUUCAUUCAUUUUGCUCCGUAUGUAGACACCUAAUGAAAUAUCUUAAAAGACUUAUAUUUAGGUACGGAGGAAGUAGACACUAAGACCAGCAACUCGACACGAUGAUGUAACCGCAGUUUCAACAAAGCAAACUAUUGAAAAGACUAUGCAAAAGCUCACAUUGGUUCGGAUAUGAUGAUCUAACCCUAAUUUUUUUAAUGGCUUUUUCUUGGACUAUAGGUAUGAAGAUAGAUGCGAUUUAACCUGGAAAUCUCACCAACAACCUGGAAAUCUGAUACCACUUGAUAAAGGCGAAGUUGUCCCUAUCUUUCGAUGAGAUCGUGGGUAUCGUUUUGGUGGAGUAGACUUUGACGAUCCAAGUACGAACGUGUGAGGACGUCGCGCCUUAGCAAUCGCUAAACCAACUCCGAGAGGUUAUUGACCACGCCGGAGCACGAUCAACUUGACCACGAAGGUCUGUUUCCUGCACGCAAACGAAGAACAAGCAAGAAACUAAGAUGCAAUCAAGAUAUUACGAAUAUAAGUGGAAAGCUUUAUUGAUGAAGGUGGGGUUCUGUGACGCCUUUGUCUGGUCGUGGAACACAAACGAAGAACGCAAAGUUGCAGCUAUGGUGAACUUGUAAUCUAAACAAAACCCAAGUCUAAACGGUGCCCUAAGGGUUGUAUAUAUGAGGGAACAGAUAGGCAAUUUCGUGACUGAUACGUCUCCAACGUAUCUAUAAUUUUUGAUGGUUUCAUGCUAUUAUCUUGUCAAACUUUGGAUGUUUUGUAUGCCUUUUAUAUAUUUUUUGGGACUAACUUAUUAACCAAGUGCCAAGUGCCAGUUCCUGUUUUUUCCAUGUUUUUGACCCCUUUCAGAGGAGGAUUUUGAACGGAGUCCAAACGGAAUGAAACUGCCAAAACGAUUUUUUUUCGGAACAGAAAAAGAUCGGUGAGCUGGAGAAUCGAGGAAGGGGGCCACCAGGGACCCCACAAGCCCUCACGGCGCGGCCAGGGGGGGAGGCCGCGGUCUCUGGCUUGUGGGCUCCCUGAGGCUCCGUUGCCCUAGGUUUUGCGCCUAUAUAUUCCCAAAAAUUCCAUAAAAAUGAGGAGAUCAUCGAAAGUACUUUUCCGCCGCCGCAAGCUUCUGUCUCCGCAAGAUCCCAUCUGGGGCACGUUCUAGUGCCCUGCCAGAGGGGGGAUUCAGACACGGAGGGCUGCUUCAUCAACACCAUGACCUCUUCGAUGAUGCGUGAGUAGUUCACCAUAGACCUACGGGUCCAUAGCUAGUAGCUAGAUGGCUUCUUCUC
rnacentral:lncRNA from 1 species